AUUCCCUAAGUAGCGGCGAGCGAACGGGGACUAGCCCUUAAGCUAGACAACUGGUAGGAGAAGGCUCUGGAAAGUGCCGCCAUAGUGGGUGAUAGCCCCGUAUCCGAAACCUGAGUCUGGUGAAAUCGAGUAGGACGGGACACGUGAUAUCCUGUCUGAACAUGGGGGGACCAUCCUCCAAGCCUAAGUACUCCUACAUGACCGAUAGUGAACCAGUACCGUGAGGGAAAGGCGAAAAGAACCCCUGUGAGGGGAGUGAAAUAGAUCCUGAAACCGUAUGCGUACAAGCAGUCGGAGCGGACUUGUUCCGUGACGGCGUACCUUUUGUAUAAUGGGUCAGCGACUUAUGUUCAGUGGCGAGGUUAACCGUUUAGGGGAGCCGUAGGGAAACCGAGUCUGAAUAGGGCGAUUUAGUCGCUGGGCAUAGACCCGAAACCGGGCGAUCUAUCCAUGAGCAGGUUGAAGGUGCCGUAACAGGCACUGGAGGACCGAACCCACUGUCGUUGAAAAGC
rnacentral:rRNA from 1 species